rnacentral:rRNA from 1 species
AGAGUUUGAUCCUGGCUCAGGGCGAACGCUGGCGGCGUGCCUAAUACAUGCAAGUCGAGCGAAUCUUGAGGAGCUUGCUCCUUGAGGUUAGCGGAGGACGGGUGAGUAACACGUGGGCAACCUGCCUGUAAGACUGGGAUAACACCGGGAAACCGGUGCUAAUACCGGAUAACUCUUCACCUCUCAUGAGGUGAAGCUGAAAGUCGGUUUCGGCUGACACUUACAGAUGGGCCCGCGGCGCAUUAGCUAGUUGGUGAGGUAACGGCUCACCAAGGCGACGAUGCGUAGCCGACCUGAGAGAGUGAUCGGCCACACUGGGACUGAGACACGGCCCAGACUCCUACGGGAGGCAGCAGUAGGGAAUCUUCCGCAAUGGACGAAAGUCUGACGGAGCAACGCCGCGUGAGUGAUGAUGGCCUUCGGGUCGUAAAACUCUGUUGUUAGGGAAGAACAAGUACCGGAGUAACUGCCGGUACCUUGACGGUACCUAACCAGAAAGCCACGGCUAACUACGUGCCAGCAGCCGCGGUAAUACGUAGGUGGCAAGCGUUGUCCGGAAUUAUUGGGCGUAAAGCGCGCGCAGGCGGUCCUUUAAGUCUGAUGUGAAAGCCCACGGCUCAACCGUGGAGGGUCAUUGGAAACUGGGGGACUUGAGUGCAGAAGAGGAAAGCGGAAUUCCACGUGUAGCGGUGAAAUGCGUAGAGAUGUGGAGGAACACCAGUGGCGAAGGCGGCUUUCUGGUCUGUAA